GGAAGAUGUUCUCAGCUUUCUAGGAAUAUACCAGGACAAAUCCAGUGAGGCAGAUCUCAGGCAUCUUUUAUAUGUGGAUGUGACUCAUUCAUUCCAGCUCGAAUUUCCACAAGCAGUAGCCCUAAGUGGGGAGCUGUUUUCUAGACAAACCAAACCAGAAGACUUUGACUACGCUGUGAAUGUAAAAGCCAUAAUCAACAAGAACGAUUCCUCACAGGUCCAAGCAGCCCUGAAGAUUUAUGGUGAGAGCAACCUCAAUGGAUCUCUUUACCUUUAUUCCAGUGGAAGGGACAUGCUGGUGC